AGUUUGAUCCUGGCUCAGAGUGAACGCUGGCGGCGGGCUUAACACAUGCAAGUCGAACGAGAACGGGCCUUCCUUGCUUGACUGUCAGCUAAGUGGCGGACGGGUGAGUAAUGUAUAGUUAAUUUGCCCCUUAAAGAGGGAUAACAGUUGGAAACGACUGCUAAUACCUCAUACUCCUUCUGCCUUAAUGGUAGUUGGGAAAUGUUUUUUCCCUCAGGGAUGAGACUAUGUGGCAUCUCGUAUUGGGGGGGGUAAGAGCCUACCAAGCCUAUGACGCCUAGCUGGUCUGAGAGGAUGAUCAGCCACACUGGAACUGAGACACGGGCCCAACCCCUACCGGAGGCAACAGUGGGGAAUAUUGGGCAAUGGAGGAAACUCUGAUGCCACCACGCCCCGUGGAGGAUGACGCGUUUCCGGGUGUAAACUCCUUUUAUAUGGGAACAUAAUGACGGUACCAUAUGAGUUUGCACCGGGUAAGUCCGUGCCUACAACCGCGGUAAUAACUCUGGUGCAAGCGUUACUCGGAAUCACUGGGUGCAAAGCGCGCGCAGGCGGCUAUUUAAGUUAGGAUGUGAAAGCCUAACGCUCAACCGGGGAACUGCAUCCCAGACUAUUUACCUAGAAUGGGGGACAGAAGGUGUGAUUAGAUGUAUAGGGGUGAAAGCCGAAUACAUAACUAAGAAUACCAAAUGCGAAAGCUAUCGUCUGGAACACUACUGACACUCAGGCGCGUAAGCGUGUACAGCCAAUGAGAUUAGAUACCCUGGGUAG
rnacentral:rRNA from 1 species